rnacentral:rRNA from 1 species
GACGAACGCUGGCGGCGUGCUUAACACAUGCAAGUCGAGCGGUAAGGCCCUUUCGGGGGUACACGAGCGGCGAACGGGUGAGUAACACGUGGGUGACCUGCCCUCAGCUCUGGGAUAAGCCUGGGAAACCGGGUCUAAUACCGGAUAUGACUCCAUGACGCAUGUUGUGGGGUGGAAAGCCUUGUGCGGCUGAGGAUGGGCCCGCGGCCUAUCAGCUUGUCGGUGGGGUGAUGGCCUACCAAGGCGACGACGGGUAGCCGGCCUGAGAGGGCGACCGGCCACACUGGGACUGAGACACGGCCCAGACUCCUACGGGAGGCAGCAGGUGGGGAACCUUGCGCAAGUGGGACGAAAGCCUGACGCAGCGACGCCGCGUGA